ACGCGAAAGCCCCCUUCGGGGGGCAAGUAGAGUGGCGCACGGGUGAGUAACACGUAGGUAAUCUACCUUUGGAUGGGGAAUAACAACCGGAAACGGUUGCUAAUACCGCAUAAUGCAGCGGCACCUAAUGGUGACAGUUGUUAAAGCGGGGGAUCGCAAGACCUCGCGUCUGAAGAGGAGCCUGCGGCGGAUUAGCUAGUUGGUAGGGUAACGGCUUACCAAGGCGAUGAUCCGUAGCCGGCCUGAGAGGGCGGUCGGCCACACUGACACUGACAUACGGGUCAGACUCCUACGGGAGGCAGCAGUCGGGAAUUUUGGGCAAUGGGCGAAAGCCUGACCCAGCAACGCCGCGUGAAGGAUGAAAUCCUUCGGGAUGUAAACUUCGCAAGAACGGGAAGAAUAAGUCUGCGCAAAUAUCGCAGAUGAUGACGGUACCGUUUGUAAGCUCCGGCUAACUCCGUGCCAGCAGCCGCGGUAAUACGGGGGGAGCAAGCGUUG
rnacentral:rRNA from 1 species